GGCGAACGGGUGAGUAACGCGUGAGCAAUCUACCUUAGUUACAGGGAUAGCCCGAGGAAACUCGGAUUAAUACCUGAUAUUCUUUAUUUCUCGCAUGAGAAUAAAAGGAAAGGUCAGCCGAACUAAGAUGAGCUCGCGUUCUAUCAGCUAGUUGGUGAGGUAAAAGCUCACCAAGGCUACGACGGAUAGCUGGUCUGAGAGGACGAUCAGCCACACUGGGACUGAGACACGGCCCAGACUCCUACGGGAGGCUGCAGCAGGGAAUAUUGUGCAAUGAACGAAAGUUUGACACAGCGACACCGCGUGUGGGAUGACGGAUCUAGGUUUGUAAACCACUUUCAGGAGGGAAGAAAAUGACGGUACCUCCAUAAGAAGCCCCGGCCAACUACGUGCCAGCAGCCGCGGUAAUACGUAGGGGGCGAGCGUUGUCCGGAUUUAUUGGGCGUAAAGAGCUCGUAGGCGGUUCAACAAGUCGGUCGUGAAAGUUCAGGGCUCAACCCUGAAAUGUCGAUCGAUACUGUUGUGACUAGGAUACGGUAGAGGUGAGUGGAAUUCCGAGUGUAGCGGUGAAAUGCGUAGAUAUUCGGAGGAACACCAAUUGCGAAGGCAGCUCACUGGGCCGCUAUCGACGCUGAGGAGCGAAAGCUAGGGGAGCAAACAGGAUUAGAUACCCUGGUAGUCCUAGCUGUAAACGAUGGAUACUAGACGUAGGAACUGGAUUGACGGUUUCUGUGUCGCAGCUAACGCGUUAAGUAUCCC
rnacentral:rRNA from 1 species